rnacentral:rRNA from 1 species
GCAUGNUCCCGGCCGCCAUGGCCGCGGGANUGGAAUCUUCCGCAAUGGACGAAANUNUGACGGAGCAACGCCGCGUGAGCGAAGAAGGUCUUCGGAUCGUAAAGCUCUGUUGUUAGGGAAGAACAAGUACCGUUCAAAUAGGGCGGUACCUUGACGGUACCUAACCAGAAAGCCACGGCUAACUACGUGCCAGCAGCCGCGGUAAUACGUAGGUGGCAAGCGUUAUCCGGAAUUAUUGGGCGUAAAGCGCGCGCAGGCGGUCCUUUAAGUCUGAUGUGAAAGCCCACGGCUCAACCGUGGAGGGUCAUUGGAAACUGGGGGACUUGAGUGCAGAAGAGGAGAGCGGAAUUCCACGUGUAGCGGUGAAAUGCGUAGAGAUGUGGAGGAACACCAGUGGCGAAGGCGGCUCUCUGGUCUGUAACUGACGCUGAGGCGCGAAAGCGUGGGGAGCGAACAGGAUUAGAUACCCUGGUAGUCCACGCCGUAAACGAUGAGUGCUAAGUGUUAGAGGGUUUCCGCCCUUUAGUGCUGCAGCAAACGCAUUAAGCACUCCGCCUGGGGAGUACGGUCGCAAGACUGAAACUCAAAUGAAUUGACGGGG